GCUAUACAUGCAGUCGAGCGACUGAUUAGAAGCUUGCUUCUAUGACGUUAGCGGCGGACGGGUGAGUAACACGUGGGCAACCUGCCUGUAAGACUGGGAUAACUUCGGGAAACCGAAGCUAAUACCGGAUAGGAUCUUCUCCUUCAUGGGAGAUGAUUGAAAGAUGGUUUCGGCUAUCACUUACAGAUGGGCCCGCGGUGCAUUAGCUAGUUGGUGAGGUAACGGCUCACCAAGGCAACGAUGCAUAGCCGACCUGAGAGGGUGAUCGGCCACACUGGGACUGAGACACGGCCCAAACUCCUACGGGAGGCAGCAGUAGGGAAUCUUCCGCAAUGGACGAAAGUCUGACGGAGCAACGCCGCGUGAGUGAUGAAGGCUUUCGGGUCGUAAAACUCUGUUGUUAGGGAAGAACAAGUACAAGAGUAACUGCUCGUACCUUGACGGUACCUAACCAGAAAGCCACGGCUAACUACGUGCCAGCAGCCGCGGUAAUACGUAGGUGGCAAGCGUUAUCCGGAAUUAUUGGGCGUAAAGCGCGCGCAGGCGGUUUCUUAAGUCUGAUGUGAAAGCCCACGGCUCACCCGUGGAGGGUCAUUGGAAACUGGGGAACUUGAGUGCAGAAGAGAAAAGCGGAAUUCCACGUGUAGCGGUGAAAUGCGUAGAGAUGUGGAGGAACACCAGUGGCGAAGGCGGCUUUUUGGUCUGUAACUGACGCUGAGGCGCGAAAGCGUGGGGAGCAAACAGGAUUAGAUACCCUGGUAGUCCACGCCGUAAACGAUGAGUGCUAAGUGUUAGAGGGUUUCCGCCCUUUAGUGCUGCAGCUAACGCAUUAAGCACUCCGCCUGGGGAGUACGGUCGCAAGACUGAAACUCAAGGAAUUGACGGGGCCCGCACAGCGGUGGAGCAUGUGAUUUAAUUCGAGCACGCGAGACCUUA
rnacentral:rRNA from 2 species